rnacentral:rRNA from 1 species
AAACACGCAGACAGUGGAUGCCUUGGCAUUGCACACCGAAGAAGGACGUACAUAGCAGCGAAAUGCGUCGGGGAGAAGCUACGAUUCUAUGAUCCGGCGGUGUCCGAAUGAGGCAACUCACAGAGGGUUACUCCUCUGUACCAAUACUCCAAAUAACUUUGCGAAAGCAAAGUUUACUAAUGUAUUAGGUGGGAACCCGGGGAACUGAAACAUCUCAGUACCCGGAGGAAAAGAAAUUAAAUAAGAUUUCGUCAGUAGCGGUGAGCGAAAGCGAAUCAGUCUAAACCGUCAUGUCCAGCGCAAGCUGGAUGAGACGGGGUUGCGGGACUCCAACGUAGGAGUUGUCUUGAUAGCAGAACAAUCUGGAAUGGUUGACCAUAGAGGGUGAAAGUCCUGUAUGCGAAAUCAAUGACAACCUUUAGGAGUAUCCCAAGUACCACGAUACAAAUAUACCGUGGGAAUCCGGGGGAACCAUCCUCCAAGACUAAAUAUGAUGCAGUGACCGAUAGUGAACUAGUACCGUGAGGGAAAGGUGAAAAGAUGAGCGAAACGCUCAGUUAAAAGAACCUGAAACUGUCUGCGGACAAACCGAGAGAGCUUCCACCAGCAAUGGUGGGUGUGAUCUCGUGCCUAUUGAAGAAUGAACCGACGAGUUACCGUAUGCUUCAAGUCUAAGCCACUCGCGUGGCGAAGGCGUAGGGAAACCGAGUCCGAAUAGGGCGAAUAGAUGCAUAUGGUAGACCCGAAACCCGGUGAGCUAUCCAUGAGCAGGCUGAAGGUUAUAGAAAUAUAACUGGAGGGCCGAACCCGUAUCAGUUGCAAUUGGUUGGGAUGACUUGUGGAUAGGGGUAAAAUGCCAAUCGAACCGGGAGAUAGCUGGCUCUCCCCGAAAGGUCUUUGGGGACCGUGGCUCACGAAAAAUGCAUGAGAGGUAGAGCACUGGAUGGGUUGCUUAGCGCAAGCAAGGUACCCCAAUCAAACUCCGAAUAAUUAUGCAUCUGCGUAGCUAGACAGUCAUAUCGGGCUAAGCUGAUAUGACGAAAGGGAAACAACCCAGACCAUCAAUUAAGGCCCCUAAAUUAACACUCAGUGGUAAAGGAAGUGGAAACGCGAAAACAGCUAGGAAGUUGGCUUAGAAGCAGCCAUCUUUUAAAGAAAGCGUAACAGCUCACUAGUCGAGCGUUUCUGCGCCGAAGAUUCCGCGGGGCUCAAGUGUUAUGCCGAAAUUAUGGAUUUUGCAUUCCUUCGGGAAUGUAAAGUGGUAGGGGAGCGUUCUUAUUGCAGUGAAGCUAUGGUGUAAACCGUGGUGGAGCGGUAAGAAGUGAGAAUGUCGGUAUGAGUAGCGCACAAGGAGGGUGAGAAUCCCUUCCGCCGAAUGCCCAAGGUUUCCGUCGCAAGGUUCGUCCACGACGGGUAAGUCGGCUCCUAAGGCGAGGCCCAAAAGGCGUAGUCGAUGGAUAACUGGUUAAUAUUCCAGUACUUGUUGCAAAUCGUUAUCAGCUAAGGACUAACGGAGCAAACCAAAUAAAGCCCCUUCGUGAAGUGGGGUGCAGAAGCCGCGAUAGUUGCUGUUGGAAAAUCCGCAGUGACGUUUUAAGUCGUAGUGGUGCAAAGUCUUCCGAGAGGAGGAUGAUUUUAUUUAAUAGCUUUCAAGAAACCGUUCGUAGUGAGAUUUGUAAUGAGCCGUACCGCAAACCGACACAGGUGGGCUGGUCGAGUAGACCAAGGUGAGCGAGAGAAGGAUCCUUAAGGAACUCGGCAAAAAAACUACCCGUAACUUCGGGAGAUGGGUUGCCUCGCAAUUUGUGAGGCUGCAACCAAAGUCUAUUUGACGACUGUUUAGCAAAAACACAGGUCCGUGCAAAAGCGAAAGCUUACGUAUACGGGCUGACGCCUGCCCAGUGCUGGUAAGUUAAGUGGAUGGGUGCUUGAGUCUUCGGACUCAUGUCGCUUUGAAAUGAAGCUCCAGUAAACGGCAGCAGUAACUAUAACUGUUCUACGGUGAACGAAAGCCGCCGUAGUAAAAUUUGACCAAAUGCUGGAAAAUCUCGCGUAUCUGACAGUACUUCGAAAGAAGUGAUAAUCUGAUCAGUGGAGACAAUCAGCAGGAAAGGCCAAACCGUCAAAGAAAGUUUUUUGUCAUAUGUUCCAUAAGAAAGUGCAAGAAAGCGCUAGAAGAAAUUGUUUUAAUAACUUACUGAAAGAAAAGCCAUACUUCAGAAAUAUCUACUAAAUGAAAAUUUAGUAUGUGUUGAUGGGUAAAAUUUUCUACUAGGUACGUAUUAAUUCAUACGCGUUUAAUUGCGUUUCAAGAAUGAAUACAUAAGACAAAAACUCUAUUCGUAGGUUUGGAAUCCUCAGAGACUCUACGUCAAACACCCGUUAAAAGGUGAUGAUAUAGUCCGAUCUUCAUAGCGAUAUGAAGUCCUUGUGAAAGUCACAGGGCUCCUAAUAUAGGAGUAACAAAACGAUUAAUAAUUUUAUUAAUAUAUGAGCGAAGUUCCUUGUCGGGUAAGUUCCGACCCGCACGAAUGGCGUCACGAUCAAAUAACUGUCUUAAGGAUUCACUCGGCGAAAUUGCAGUGGCUGUGAAGAUGCGGCCUAAUUACACCAGGACAAAAAGACCCCGUGAAGCUUUACUGUAUUCUGACACUGAUAGAAGCGUUUUAACUGUUUAGCGUAGGAGGGAGUGCUUGCACACCAAUGAAACACCUCUCUUUAGAAUGCUCUCUAUCUUACCUGCGAGCCGUAAUCCGGUUCGGGAAACAUGUCAGAUUGGCAGUUUUACUGGGGCGGUACCCUGCCAAAGUGUAACGCAGGGAUACAAAGGUUGGCUUACCACGGAUGGAAAUCGUGGGCAAAGCAUAAAGGUUUAAGCCAGCUUGACUGUGAGGCCGACGGGCCAAACAGG